rnacentral:rRNA from 1 species
UACAGAGGUCUCAAGCGUUGUUCGGAUUCAUUGGGCGUAAAGGGUGCGUAGGUGGGCGAGAAAGUCAGUGGUGAAAUCUCCGGGCUUAACCCGGAAACUGCCAUUGAUACUAUUUGUCUUGAAUACUUUGGAGGUAAGCGGAAUAUGUCAUGUAGCGGUGAAAUGCUUAGAUAUGACAUAGAACACCAAUUGCGAAGGCAGCUUACUACACAGUGAUUGACACUGAGGCACGAAAGCGUGGGGAUCAAACAGG